AGCGCUUCCCCCUCGCAGAGGCUUCGCCGACCGCUACAGAGGCGGCCCGGAGCCUCCGCGGGGCGCGCUGCCGGCACGGACCGGCCCACGGCGCCACUCCUGCCAGCCGCCGCGGCCCGGCCCGGCCCGGCGGGGGUGCCCGGCUGCCCGCCGAGCCCAGCCGAGCCGUGCGGAGCCCGGCCGUGGCGCGGCCCGCCCCGCCGCCGCGGGGCUCCCUCCUCCUCCUCCUCCUCCGCGGCGCGGCGGGGAGGGGAGGGGCCCAGGCAGACCGGUCCCGCCGCGCAGCUCCCGCGGCCGGCUGGCGAUCCGCAGCCGCGCCCGGCCGCUCGGCUCGGCGCAGGCCAGGCAGGAAGAAGGAAGCUACCGGCGGCGGGAGGGCGAGAGCAGCGGCAGCGGGGAGGGAGCUAUGUUUCAGCCAGUGCAGCGGGAAGCCUGAAGAAGCAAUACAAAGUUUGGAAGGUGAAUAUGGAUUCAAAAUCAGCAAUUAACAAAGGCAGAGUGAAGAAUUUGCCACGUCGUGACUGAAGGUACAAGAAAAAAAACCUACGGGGAGAUCAACUCAGCAGCGUAUCUUCCACGUUUGUUAACAGCCUACCAUCGCACGGCUUUGGGAGGAUCUUUGUUAUUGUAUUCUGAAGAACAGAUAACGUUGCCACAAGUACCUAAGUGUGUCACCUAAAACUUGAUACCAGCUAUAGAGUAGAUGGCUCAGCUUCCUCCUGGGAUUCGCUUCAUCACUUCAUUUUCACGAGAUCAGUGGUACAGAGCCUUCAUUUUUUCUCUCACUUUCUUGUUGUACGCCAGCUUCCAUUUAUCAAGGAAACCUAUUAGUAUAGUUAAGGGAGAGCUGCAUAAGCAUUGCAGUGCUUCACAUGAAGUUGAAGUCAACUCCUACCAAGAAUAUGCUGCCCAGAUUCAGCCUGUCAAAAAGCCAUCUAAUAUAUCUCAGUGCGGUUGGGAGCCAUUUGAUAAGAACAACUACAAACAGUUACUGGGAGCACUGGAUUACUCAUUUCUGUGUGCAUAUGCAAUUGGAAUGUAUUUAAGUGGAAUAAUAGGAGAACGGCUACCUAUCCGGUACUAUCUGACAGUCGGGAUGCUUGCUAGCGGACUCUUCACUGCAAUGUUUGGAUUGGGUUAUUUCUAUAAUAUACAUAAUCUGUGGUUUUACAUAAUGGCCCAGAUAGCUAAUGGGUUGGUGCAAACUACGGGCUGGCCAAGUGUCGUUACAUGUAUUGGCAACUGGUUUGGAAAAGGAAGGAGAGGUUUGAUCAUGGGAAUCUGGAAUUCACACACUUCAGUAGGAAAUAUCUUGGGAUCUUUAAUUGCUGCUUAUUGGGUGUCUACAUGCUGGGGUCUCUCCUUCGUGAUGCCUGGUGUUAUCAUCGCUGUGAUGGGGAUUGUUUGUUUCCUGUUUCUUAUUGAACAUCCUAAAGAUAUAAGUUGCUCCUGCACACCAUCCAGUAGUUCUAAAACCUUUCUGAAUGGCACAUCUCGAUUCAGAGUGCAGAUGCCAAUCUUAAAUGCUAAGGAAACCAACAAACCUCAGGAUCCAGAGAUGCAGCAUUUGCUUAUUGACAGUGAAAAUUGCAGUGUGUCACUGAACUCCAGCACUGUGGUCACUGGGGAAGGUAGACAUGGGACAUCAGCUAUCAGCUUCCUUGGGGCCUUGCGAAUACCUGGAGUCAUAGAGUUCUCCCUUUGUCUUCUGUUUGCAAAGCUGGUGAGCUAUACUUUCCUCUUCUGGCUUCCCCUCUAUAUCACAAAUGUAGAGCAUCUUGAUGCCAGAAGAGCUGGGGACCUUUCUACACUGUUUGAUGUGGGUGGAAUCUUUGGUGGAAUUUUGGCAGGCCUGAUAUCAGACAGGCUGGAGAAGAGGGCAUCAACCUGCGGAAUGAUGUUAUUGCUUGCGGCACCCACAUUGUACAUGUUCUCUGCAGUUAGUAAAAUGGGCCUUGAGGCUACUGUAGUGAUGCUGCUUAUCAGUGGUGCCCUGGUGAAUGGCCCUUAUGCACUGAUCACCACUGCUGUCUCUGCCGACUUGGGUACCCAUAAAAGCCUGAAAGGGAAUGCAAGAGCCUUGUCCACAGUGACAGCGAUCAUCGACGGAACAGGAUCUGUAGGUGCAGCUUUGGGCCCUCUCUUAGCUGGUCUUAUUUCCCCAUCUGGUUGGAACAACGUGUUUUACAUGCUUAUGGUGGCAGAUGCAUGUGCCUUGCUAACCAAAGAAGAGAUGAGAUGAGGCAAGUUCUUACUCCGUCUUAUUCAGAAGGAACUUCGGUGUUAUGCAGAUCAUACCCUGUUUAAAGAACACUGAGCUACAAGACCAGAUUUGGAAUAAGGACUGCGUCAGCGAUCAGAGCUUUUCCCUGAAAAACAAACUUCAUGGAAUGCGUUAUUCUAUAUUUAAGAGAUUCUGUUUGGUGAAGAACUUUGCACAUUUACUGGAAGCAAUGUGAGAAAUGCAACUGGUAAAUCCCUGAAGCUCUUAUUUUUGCACAUGAAUAAGUACCUCAGGAUGGCAACUAUUCAUCAGAUGAAGAGACAGGAACUGGAAAGGUUUUAGCAGCACGCCUCAGCUGAGCCAAAGAGAAAUACCAAGUGCCUUUUUAUUUCUUUUGAUAGGAUGUUUUUAAUUAAAAUGCCGAACUGUGUAUUUUCCAAAAACAAGUCAAAACUAGAGCAGAAGGAAGUUGAAAUCAUAACAGUCUAGCAGUGAAACAUCCCAGUGUCAAUGAGUAAAGUAUGUAUCUCUUAUGUCAUCUUGCGCACAUGAAGGGCGUCACUUUAUAGAGCACAAUACCAGCUGGCUAUUAAGAUGCACUGCUAUUAGUAUUUUGAAGCUGCUCAGACAAUAAUAACCUCACUGUAUUAUUAGUUUUUAACUACAGUACUACUUCUAAUCCCAAGGACAACAUCCAGCCUUUUGGUAGGUAAUGAAAUGGAAUUUAGUGUUGCGGUGUACCGCAGUUAGCAGUUUUCACAGACUCUCUGGAUGGAUGUUAGGCCUCAAUUAGCAUUGUGUGAAAGGAGACCUAAGCAAGAAAAAGUAGAUUACGAGUCAGAAUUCCCAGUGGGGAGCUCUAAUGAUUUUCAGGACAUUAUAAACUGGUUGUGCAAAUGUCAUAUAACUGUUGUGCUGCUCCACUAGGCUGGGUUGAAAAUGAGAGGUUGUUCCUUUGGGGUGGCAGAGAACUGUGAGCUGUCAUACUUUAGCACUACAGGAUUGAACAGAUGAGCUGCCUUAGUGCCUGCUGCCACAGUGAUCUCUGUUGGGUGCUCCGCGGUUUCAGUGCUGGUGUGUGCAUGUGGAAGUCAUUGUCAGAUCAAGGCCUUAAUAACCAGAAAUCUCUUUGAAGUGACUAAUUUCAAGUGGCUCUGAAUUUCAGAUUUGGAGCCAAAAUAUCAGAAAAGAAAAAUUACCUAGGUGGUAGGUUGUAAGAGAACAUUUCAGUAACUAGUGUUACCCAGCAAAUAGACGGUUUAAUGUCUUCAAAACAUAUCAUUUCUUUGUACAGCCAUUUCCUUUGCAAAACAGAUGUUUCUGUGAUUUUUUUUUUAAAGAUGUACAAAGUAAAAAGCAAUUUUUUUGUAUGAGGUGUUUAUACUUAGAUCACAAAGGCUAGAUAAUUUAAACUGUGUAUUAUUCUUAACUGUAGUUAUUAAAGCUCUAGGCAUAUGUCUUGUUCUGAACUAUGCUCUUAAGUUUUGUGAAACAAUGCAGUAGUCUUUACACUUGAUUAACAAAACAGCACACUCUAAAGUAGACUGCCAAAACAUGGAGAAAUGUCUCAUCAGCUGCUGGUGGUGUGUUCCAUGUGCUGGCACAACACUUAAUUUCCAGGGCUGUUUUGUAAUUGUUCAGUCUGUGAUGAGUUAUUUCACUAGUUUGAUUUAGCACAUGCUUUAUGCUUGACUUGAACAGUAUAAGAAUGUGUUCAUUUUUAACUGUUUUGCUGAACAGAGAUACAGGGAAGACCUCAGUCCCACAAAGACUUAAGGAAGGUACCAAGUCCUUGUAAGGGAAUGCUCUGGGUCGGCCCUGACCCUGCAGUUACCUAGAUGAAUGGUUAACUUCACACAUUUUGAGUAAACCUGUUGAGACCAGUGGGGAUACUCAACAUGUGAAUUCAUAAAUCAGUGCUGCGUUUGGUCUUUACGGUGUAGUUAAAUGCAACAGAAUUCUGCAGCAAAGUUACUUGAAAGGAAUUCCGUCCUGGUGGCAUGGCACGCUGCCCCUCACUUGGCCAGGCUGACUCUGGGGGGGGGGGUGCUAGCCUGGCCAGGGGACUGACCUAGUCUCUAAUGGGGGAAAAAUAACAUUGCAACCCCAAAACAGCUGUAUUGGCACAACUUCAAUGGCUGUGUGAGGAGGGAGGGAUGGAGGACUUCUUUAGCUGAAGAUGCCAAACCCUUCCCCCCGAAAAGGUAUGUAAAGCUAUAUACUAGUUUAUUGAAACAAUUUAAACUCUGCUGCACUCAAAUUUUGAGAGGCUGAUCCCUAUGGGCUGAAGUCUUAGGUUAAAAUGCUUUCAGUUGUAUUUAACAGUCACACGUUGUGAAGAUAUUUAACUGUGUUUUGGGUUUUACACGUUUUACUUGUUGGGGCUGCUGCUGUUAUUUAUUUAUUUAUUUGAAUAGCUUUUGCACUGCAGUGACUUGGGUAUGGGAUCACGACGAUGUUGGAGGUGCUGUGCUGAGUCCUUCCUUCUAUCGAUUGUAGGCGGGAGUUAGGACUCCUGGUGUGCCGAUGUCUCCUUCCUUGCUAAUGUGCAGCAUUUCAGUUCCAGCUAUGAAUGUGUUGGACAAAAAGAUAAAGAUUUGCUUUUCUUUCUUAACAACCCUAAAGGUCCCCCAAGUUGUGAAUAAACUGUGUGUUUUGUUAGUAUCGGGUGUCAAUAUCCAUUAAUCUGAAAAUGAGCAAGACUGACAAAAUUUUUUUGUGUAGAAAUGUGAAUGACCAGUAGGUAGAGCCAAAUUUAAAUAUGACUGCGGGAUUUGUUUCUUGUUUUUUAAUGUUGGUUAUUGUGAAUUUUAUCCAUUUACUGUCCUGUGUUGAAUAAAAAUAGAUUCUACUUU